rnacentral:lncRNA from 1 species
AUGGGUUAUCGCUGGGUUAUCGCUGGGUUAUCAAUCAGUUAUCGCUGGGUUAUUGAUCAAUCACUGUGGAUGGGUUAUCGAUCAGUUAUCGAUGGGUUAUUGAUCAAUCACUGUGGAUGGGUUAUCGAUCAGUUAUCGAU